ensembl:snRNA U6 U6 spliceosomal RNA
GUGCUCACUUUGGCAGCACAUAUACUAAAAUUGGAAUGAUACAGAGAAGAUUAGCCUGGCUCCUGAGCAAGGAUGGUAUGCAAAUUCAUAAAGUAUUCCAUAUUUUU